CCUACGGGAGGCUGCAGUGAGGAAUAUUGGUCAAUGGCCGGGAGGCUGAACCAGCCAAGUCGCGUGAGGGAAGACGGCCCUACGGGUUGUAAACCUCUUUUGUCAGGGAGCAAGGUGCAGGUCGGGACCUGCUGUGAGAGUACCUGAAGAAAAAGCAUCGGCUAACUCCGUGCCAGCAGCCGCGGUAAUACGGAGGAUGCGAGCGUUAUCCGGAUUUAUUGGGUUUAAAGGGUGCGCAGGCGGAGGCACAAGUCAGCGGUAAAAUCGCGGGGCUCAACCCCGCCCCGCCGUUGAAACUGUGGUCGUUGAGUGGGCGAAGGGUAGGCGGAAUGCGUGGGGUAGCGGUGAAAUGCAUAGAUAUCACGCAGAACGCCGAUUGCGAAGGCAGCAUACCGGCGCCCAACUGACGCUCAUGCACGAAAGCGUGGGUAUCGAACAGGAUUAGAUACCCCGGUAGUC
rnacentral:rRNA from 1 species